GGCACUUUAGCUCAGUUGGUUAGAGCGUUCGCUUAACAAUCCUUUCGAGCAAACACAUGCUCAAUGUCGCGAAAGGUCCCCGGUUCGAGCCCGGGAGGAGUCA
rnacentral:tRNA from 1 species